UUCACACACACACACCCCCGGGUCUCUGGAAAAUGAGAAAGGAGGUGUGUGCUGGAGGAGUGUGUGUGUGUGUGUGUGUGUGUGUGUGUGUGUGUGUGUGUGUUCCUGCCAGCUCCCUGAGGAAUGAGGCCUACGUAUGCUACUGGGAGGGAUAUUGUACGUGAAGGAGGUCUGUUCUUGAAGGAAAUGGAAAGAUCUUUCUGAUGGAGGCACGUGAGGGGGUUGCAUAAAUUACAAACGGCUCUGCCUUUGAACGACAGGAAUUUUUCAUCUGGAAUUAGGAGUAGCAGCUACAUGAACAAAUGUGAGAGUGAGAAUUUAGAGAUGGGCUGAUGACAGAAGAUGGCAUUUCCUACAUCACUGAGGAAAAUUUUCACCUGGAAAUGUUGCCUUUCUGAUUAAAAAAACAAAACAAA
rnacentral:lncRNA from 10 species